rnacentral:lncRNA from 1 species
GUGAUGGAGUCUUGCUUUGUCGCCCAGGCUGGAUUGCAGUGGCGCAAUCUUAGCUCACUGCAAGCUCCACCUCCCAGGUUCACGCCAUUCUCUUGCCUCAGCCUCCCGAGUAGCUGGGACUAGAGGCACCCACCACCGUGCCCGGCUAAUUUUUUGUAUUUUUAGUAGAGACAGGGUUUCACUGUGUUAGCCAGGAUGGUCCCGAUCUCCUGACCUCGUGAUCCGCCCGCCUCGGCCUCCCAAAGUGCUGGGAUUACAGGCGUGAGCCACCACAUCUGGCCUCUCCAGCUAACAAUUCUACAGGCUUAACUAGAUGUUCUUUGGGCACCCACUUCACCCUCCAGAGAUGGUUCAUAUUGAGGAUUUAACUAAUCAAGAGACGUGGACGAAAUGUAAAUUAAAAAAUAUUUAUCACUCAUGGUUUUAUUCCAUUUUUUGCUGCUAUAACAAUAUCACAGACUGGGUAAAUUAUAAAGGAAAUAAAUUUAUUUAGCUAAAAGUUCUAGAGGCUGGGAAGUCCAAUAUCAUGGGGCCACUCCUGGUCAAGUCACUUGUGCUGUAUCAUAACAUGGCAGAUGGGCAGGUGAGCAUGAGAGACAGAGGAAAUUGGGCCAAACUCCAUUCUUUUAUCAGGAACCCACCCCUGCAACAAUUAACCCAGUCCUGUGAUAAUGGCAUUCAUGUAUCCAUGAAUGGGGGCUCUCAUUGACUAAUCAUCUCUUAAAGAUCCCACCUCUUCAUACUGUUACAGUGGCCAUGAAGUUUCCACAUGAGUUUUGAUAAGAACAUGGAAACCAUAGCACUCAUCUAUACUGGAAUCUUAAGUCCAGACUUAAUGAUUGUGGGAAUCAAAGUUACACUAACAGAGAAUAUAUGUACUUUCAAUUAUAUUAAAACAUUCUACUGACUAAAAGUUAUUUUUAUAAUGUAAGGCAAAAUUUUUACAGCACGCUUAUUAUCACAUGGUAUGUGUGACAAACGAUUACACACAAUCAUAAAUACAAUGAGAUUUUACUCCAGAAAGUUCCAGUGUAUUGGAAUAUUGUUCAAAAUCACCAUAUGGACAUGUGUAGCCAUCAUUACAACUUGCACAGAAUUAUUAAUACAUACAUUGACAUUAAUGCUUUGGGUAAUAAUUAAGAAUCAGCUUGAACAAUACACAGCUUGGUUUUGGAGGACUAUCAAUCAUUUGAAUUCUUCAGUACUGGCAUUUACCGUGAACUAAGGUGCUCUUAUCUGAGAGCAAAACAAUUUACAGUACUUUAAGAUUGUUUUAUGAAGCAGUGAGUUAUUUGCUUUGUUAUUUCUGGCACAUUUCAAUUAAAAUCAUUAGUGUAAUUUCACGUAUGUGGAGAACAAAAGCUUCCAAAUGGUAAUUUUGUUACAGAGGUGCUGCUAGAUGUGAGCAAAUCUAAAAAUUUCCAUAUCAUAAAGAUGGGAAGCAUUAGACUUAGGAAAUUCCAGGAUCUGAAUUUAUUCUUAAGAAGUUUGAUUUCAUUGAGAUCUCUAUUUCAGUGAUUAAAAUGAACAUCUUAGAUUGAAUCAUGAAAUUACCAUUUUUA